CCUACGGGGGGCAGCAGUGGGGGAUAUUGCACAAUGGGGGGAACCCUGAUGCAGCGACGCCGCGUGGGUGAAGAAGCGCCUCGGCGCGUAAAGCUCUGUCAGCAGGGAAGAAAAUGACGGUACCUGACUAAGAAGCCCCGGCUAACUACGUGCCAGCAGCCGCGGUAAUACGUAGGGGGCAAGCGUUAUCCGGAUUUACUGGGUGUAAAGGGGGCGCAGACGGCGAUGCAAGCCAGGAGUGAAAGCUCGGGGCCCAACCCCGGGACUGCUUUUGAACCUGCGUGGCUGGAGUGCAGGAGGGGCAAGCGGAAUUCCUAGUGUAGUGGUGAAAUGCGUAGAUAUUAGGAGGAACACCAGUGGCGAAGGCGGCCUGCUGGACUGCAACUGACGUUGAGGCCCGAAAGCGUGGGGAGCAAACAGGAUUAGAUACCCUGGUAGUC
rnacentral:rRNA from 1 species